UCGAGAAUCUUCGGCAAUGGGCGAAAGCCUGACCGAGCGACGCCGCGUGUGGGAUGAAGGCCUUCGGGUUGUAAACCACUGUCAGAGGGGAUGAAAUACAGGUGGGUUCUCCCAUCUGCUUGACAUAGCCUCAGAGGAAGGACGGGCUAAGUUCGUGCCAGCAGCCGCGGUAAGACGAACCGUCCAAACGUUAUUCGGAAUUACUGGGCUUAAAGGGUGCGUAGGCGGCGCGGAAAGUAGGGUGUGAAAUCCCUCGGCUCAACCGAGGAACUGCGCCCUAAACUACCGUGCUUGAGGGAGAUAGAGGUGAGCGGAACUUAGGGUGGAGCGGUGAAAUGCGUUGAUAUCCUAAGGAACACCGGUGGCGAAAGCGGCUCACUGGAUCUCUUCUGACGCUGAGGCACGAAAGCUAGGGUAGCGAACGGGAUUAGAUACCCGCGUAGUCC
rnacentral:rRNA from 1 species